AUUGACCGCUGGCGGCAGGCCUAACACAUGCAAGUCGAACGAGUGGCGGACGGGUGAGUAAUGUCUGGGACACUGCCUGAUGGAGGGGGAUAACUACUGGAAACGGUAGCUAAUACCGCAUACCAUCGGAUGUGCCCAGAUGGGAUUAGCUAGUAGGUGGGGUAAAGGCUCACCUAGGCGACGAUCCCUAUCUGGUCUGAGAGGAUGACCAGACACACGGGAACUGAGACACGGGCUAGACUCCUACGGGAGGCAGCAGUGGUGAAUAUUGCACAAUGGGCGCAAGCCUGAUGCAGCCAUGCCUCUUGUAUGAAGAAGGCCUUCGGGUUGUAAAGUACUUUCAGCGGGGAGGCGUGACUCUCAGAAGAAGCACCGGCUAACUCCGUGCCAGCAGCCGCGGUAAUAC
rnacentral:rRNA from 1 species